rnacentral:rRNA from 1 species
UACAGAGGUCUCAAGCGUUGUUCGGAUUCAUUGGGCGUAAAGGGUGCGUAGGUGGCGGGGCAAGUCUGGUGUGAAAUCCCGGGGCUCAACCCUGGAACUGCACUGGAUACUGCUUUGCUAGAGUACUGGAGAGGGAACUGGAAUUUACGGUGUAGCAGUGAAAUGCGUAGAUAUCGUAAGGAAGACCAGUGGCGAAGGCGAGUCCCUGGACAGUUACUGACACUGAGGCACGAAGGCCAGGGGAGCAAACGGG